AAACUAAUGUGGAUGCUCCCAUUCAUUUGUCAGAGGUGGAGGACGCAGGAAGGGUGUUAAGCGUUUCCCUUGAUGAUUAUAACAUGCAGCCCGAGCAUGAAAUCCCUGCCCGACCCUCAGUGACCACCUUCUAAACAGGUGGGGGAGCAGCAGGGCUGCUCCCCAGUUUCUGCCCACGGCCAGCCAAGGAAAAAUUGCGAAUGCCAAGGUGACACAGAUCUGAGCUGUUGACUGCAUAGUCCUGUCCUUGAACUCUGCUGGGUGAGUCCCCAUGAGUGGACAAGAGCCACUUCCCAGGCCCCUUCCUCAAUCACCUGACCCCGACUGGGCCCUUCUGAGGCUGCAGAGCAGGUGCCUUGAGCUGAGGCUCAAGUCUCCAAGAUGAAGGUCCAGAGGGAAGAGAUGAGAGAUGCAUCUAGACAGGAGCUUGGAGAUGAACGAGGAGCCCUCGUGGGUGCCCCUUGAGGAUUCAGCAGAGCACUGACCUAUAUGUGAGGAAACGGUGAAGGCCAGGGAAAGAACCACCGAAAAAGUUUAGAGACAACAGUGUCUAGUGCCCAGAGAGAACCUGAAAUAGCACAUUUCCACAAGACAUCAGGCACCUAAUCUCAUUCAGAAGAUUGUCCCGCUCAAUGGGGCUAUUAUUAACCCUGGACAAAAUACUGCCCUAGUCCUAACAAAUCUUAAAAGCAAGACUCUAAAAGAUCAAACUGUUUCCAAAUAAUUUGUCUGCAAUGAAGCUCAGAAUAUUUAUAGAAAUAUAAAAAUAUCUAUCGUAGUAAUCAAAAUUCAUAAUGUCUGAUGAUCAAAGAUUAUCCAACGGGUUAAGAAAAAACACACGACCCUUAGUGGGAAGAAAAAGCAGACAAAUGUGGCCUGGAACUGACAGUAAAACAGCUAUCAUAAGUAUAUUCCCUAUGUUUGGAAAUUAUGUAGUGACAAGGGAAGAUACAGAAAAGAUUCAAAUUGAGCACCUGGACAGAAAACCAAUGCACCAGAAAGAAUUUCACCAGAUGGCAGUCCUGGCAGAUCAGACGUCACAGAAGAUUAGUGAAUCCAAAGAGAUGAGUGACCUGAAGAGUUCUUUAGCCACUAAAGAUAUGUGCAGUUCACAAGCUCUCCACUAAGAAAGCCAAGAUGGUUUCACUGGGAAUUCUCUCAAACGUUUAAGGAAAAAAGAACACCAGUUCCAUACAAACCCUUAUAAGAAAGGAAAAAGAGGAAACAUUUGCAACUCUGAGACAAAUACACUACAAGAAAACAAGACAGCACUAUUCUACGAUCACAAAUGCAAAAACUCAUGAAAUGUUAGCAAACUGAAACCAACAGUACAUCAAAAAUUCAUACACCACUAGGCAAGUCAGAUUUAUCCAAGGACUGCUGGAUGGUCUUACCAACUGAGACGUCAAACAAUGCAAAGAACUAAAAUAACAAAAGUCAUAUGAUCAUCUUAACAGUCAUAAAAGAAGUCAUCAAAAUCCAACAGGUACUUCUGGUAAUUUCUCAGCAAACUAGGAAUGGAAAGGAGCUUCCUCAACCUGACAAAUGGGUAUUUUUAGAAAACAAAACAAAACAAAACACCACCAAAAAAAUGCCCAACACUCAACAUCAUAUUCAAUGAUGAAGGACCGAAGGCUUUUCCCACUAGGAGCAGGAGCUAAACAAGAGAGUGUGGGUUUACCACUUCUACUCACCACUGUUCUGGAGGUUCUGAGCAGUGCAGGGACACAAGACAGGAAAUAAAAGGCAUGCAGACUAGAAAGAAGUGAAACCACCUCUAUUCAUAGGUGAUGUGAUUGCUUAGGUAGAAAAUCCCAUGGAAUCUACAAAAAGCUACUAGAAGCGAGGUCAGCAAGAGAGCAGGGUACUAGAGUGAUACACAAAAAACAAUUUCUAUUUCUAUAUACUAGCAAGAACCAGAAAUUAAAACUUAUACCAUACUACUGCUUGUAAUACCACCAAACGUACGAAACGCUUAAGAGUAUUUCAUAGAAGAUGUACAAGACCUACACACCAGAACCAGAAAUCCUUACUGAGAAAUCAAGGAAAAGCAAACAAAGCUGUGCCGUGUCAUCAGUUGGCACGCCUGGUACCAUCAAGACAUCAACGUUCCCCACAUUAAUCUAGAAUUUGACACAAUCCUAAUCAAAAUGCUAGUAGGCUUUAUUUUUUAGAAAUUGGCAAACAUCAUAAAAUUCAUACGGAAAUACAAAAGAACAGUACAUGUGUACUCAAGUGAAUAAAAUUCCUUAAAAAAUCGGAUAAUACCAAGUGUUAGCAAGAACAUAGAAAAACGGAGCUCUCACGUACUGCUGCCCAGAUACAAGAUGGUAUAGCCAUUUUGAAAACAGAAAAUGUCCUAAAGUCAAAUGUACACUUGCCUUAUGACUCUGAGACUACUUCUAGAUAUUUACCCAUGUCCACAUGAGACUUAUUCCUUCAGGUUCAGAACAGCUUUAUUCCUACCAACUGCAAACUGUCAGUUAUCCUGGUGAAAGGCUGUAGCUGUACUCCCCAGCAACAAAGAAACAAACUACUGGAACUGGGUGCAGACAACUGCCCCACACAGGUUCCACCGAUGAGACUUAAACUGGUCCAACAGACCAACAGCAAGGAAGUCAGUGAUCCGCCAGGACCAGGUCAGGAGAACGAACUCUUUGAAGUGAUGUAAAUAUUCUAGGGAUCCCUGGGUGGCGCAGCGGUUUGGCGCCUGCCUUUGGCCCAGGGCGCGAUCCUGGAGACCCGGGAUCGAAUCCCACAUCGGGCUCCCGGUGCAUGGAGCCUGCUUCUCCCUCUGCC